rnacentral:rRNA from 1 species
CCAGCAGCCGCGGUAAUACAGAGGUCCCAAGCGUUGUUCGGAUUCACUGGGCGUAAAGGGUGCGUAGGUGGUGAGGAAAGUUGGAUGUGAAAGCUCAGGGCUUAACCCUGAAAUGGCAUUCAAAACUACCUUGCUAGAGGGUCGGAAGGGAGACUGGAAUUCUCGGUGUAGCGGUGAAAUGCGUAGAUAUCGAGAGGAACACCAGUGGCGAAAGCGAGUCUCUGGACGACACCUGACACUGAGGCACGAAAGCUAGGGGAGCAAACAGGAUUAGAUACCCUGGUAGUCCUAGCCGUAAACGGUGCACAUUUGCCGUAAGAGGAAUCGACCCCUUUUGUGGCGCAGCCAACGCGUUAAAUGUGCCGCCUGGGAAGUACGGUCGCAAGAUUAAAACUCAAAGGAAUUGACGGGGGCCCGCACA